rnacentral:lncRNA from 1 species
UUAGCUGGGCAUGGUGCCCCAUGCCUGUAGUCCCACCUACACAGGAGGUUGAAGCACGAGAACCUUGGAGGCAGAGGUUGCAGUGAGCCGAGAUCGUGCCAGUUGACUCCAGCCUGGGUGACAAAGUGAGACUCUGUCUCAAAAAAAAAAAUAUAUGUGUAUAUUUUUAAAUUUCUUGAUGGCAACAUUUUAAAUGUCUAAAAUAUUCUCCAUGACUAAUUUAUUAUUAUAACUGUUGUCACUUAUUACUUAUAUAACUAUAUAGAUAUUAUUCAGUAAGAUAAAUAUUCUGUAAAUCUUUAUGCUUGUAUAACAAAAAUUAAAAUAUUACUGGAAAUACAUU